UAUUAAAUGCGAAACGAAAAUUAUACAAAACAAAGCUAAACAAAACACAGAGCUCAGUGCAAAAUGCAAAAUGCCAAAGUCAUAAUCACAAUCCGUCCAUGUUAUUUGUAAUGAGUGCUUCGACCAAAUGCAACAAUCACAGCCGCCGCACAGGGCCACUCGACCAGUUUGCCACUCGAGGGGAAAAAUAACCAGUAACGGUAGCGAUACGGGUAGCGAUACGAGUAAUGAUAACAUAAAUAAGAACUGUCGAGCAAAUCAGCGUCGCGGCAGAGCCACAGCCACUCAUCGGACGGGGCUGCUCCAUCACGAGCCGGAGCCGCUGUCAAUGAGCCAAGUUCCAGUUCCACAGAGUCACACACACGCACACUGAAUCACCCCGAGCCCUGAAUUCCAAUGUAAGGGUACGCUGAUACGCCUAGAGAUGCGAUGCUGAGAAAUAGUACGGAAGUGUUGAUAUUUCGCCGCUGCUCAGUGGCAGUCGCAGCUCAGUCGAAGAGCCAGCCUGAAGCACAGAAAUCGUCAUCUCAUAACGACUUAAGCUCCUCAGGGUGGAACAUGGCAGCAGCGUCAGCAUUUCUAUGAGUACGUACAUCCCCAUUGCCCCUGGGGCUACACACUUAAAGCCACAACAAACGCAUCCACAGAACGUCCAUGAUGACGAUGAUGAUGAUGACAAUGGGGGGAAGGAAUGAUGCCAAAGUCAUUUCUUUAAAGGUUACCUCUCGCAUAAGAGAAGAGAGUCCUCUGUCUAUGUGCACGGAGUGAUUUUGUUUACUUAUGCCUUCUAUUUAUUUUCUAUUUAUUCGAUUUGCAUUUCACUCGGCGCCCGUCUUUGCCUUGGCAGUGCCUUCAAGCGUUACCAAAAACUCUCAAGAUUUCGAAUGCAAAUUUGUGUCGUCUAGUGCACAGUCAACCAUCUAAGUCGACCCAAAGAUUUCCCUAUUUUCUAUGUGUGUGUGUGUGGGCACUCAAAUGUUUUGCUUGGCUGUUGACUUGGCUUUCAACGGGUCGAGCUGGGGCAGCCUCUUCAGUCAACGCAUCUUCAGCAUCAGUUCAGUAAAUGUUUGCUCAACUUGGACAAGCGCCAGGGCGUGGCAGCGUCGUCAACCCUUUGGCAUAUCGCUUCGCUCAAUCGGGACGACUUCCCUUCAACGUGCGGACACUUUCCCCCCUUUUCAUUAACAAUCUAUUCGCUUACUCGUACAAUGUGAGAUCCCGAAAUUGAAACGCACAAAUCCACUCAAAAAUUUGUCGUUGAAAAUGUAUAAUAAAAAGUUAAAGCCCCGACGCGAGUAACCAACGUCUAAUUUAGAGCUCGUGGCCGCCAAAAUUCGAGUGUCCAAUUUGUUGUACGACAACAGCAGCAGCAACAACAAUUAUGAAAUAUAACAAACAAAACAAAAAAAUACAAAAAAAAACCACUAAAAACAACAACAUCAAAAAAUCAGCCAAAAUGCGAGCGUUGAAAGCGUGUGCGAACAUGAAAAUAAAACAUCAUCAUCAGGAAAUAAAUUGGGAAAAAAAAUAAACUCAUACAUAAAAUUUCCAGAAAACUUAACAUCGAAUAACAAUAUUUGAAUUAGUGAAAGCAAAGUAAAAGAAGCACUUGGUUGAGACAAACUAAAUAUAAUUUUGAAGCCAAAGAAAUGUUAAAAAUAAAACCAAAAGAAAUCAACGAAUUUUCGGUGGCACCGCAAGUAGCAG